rnacentral:rRNA from 1 species
CAGCCGCCACGGUAAUACGGAGGGUGCAAGCGUUAAUUGGAAUUACUGGGCGUAAAGCGCACGCAGGCGGUCUGUCAAGUCAGAUGUGAAAUCCCCGGGCUUAACCUGGGAACUGCAUUUGAAACUGGCAGGCUAGAGUCUUGUAGAGGGGGGUAGAAUUCCAGGUGUAGCGGUGAAAUGCGUAGAGAUCUGGAGGAAUACCGGUGGCGAAGGCGGCCCCCUGGACAAAGACUGACGCUCAGGUGCGAAAGCGUGGGGAGCAAACAGGAUUAGAUACCCCAGUAGUCCCUGUCUCUUAUAC